GUUGCCACCAAUUUGGAAUCCAUUACAGGUAUCAAGAGUGGAAAGAUGGCCUGCAUAAUUUUAAUGACAGUGUCAUUCUUGACCUCCCUUUAUGCCUACAUCUUCGAAACAUGCUACAGGCCCACACUGCUGUCGGGAGAGUGGUUCAGUGUCUGGAGGUCACUAUAGGGGAACAGUUUCCUCCAGCCAAAACAGUGCUCCAUGCCAUCUCCAGAUUUUGAGGCACUCACAGGUCACGAGUAUGAAUACUCUUGUGUGACAUGUGGGGAUCAUCCACCCAUUGUCAUCAUGGAUCUCCACAGAAAAGGAGUAUUCAACAUGUCAAUGAGUGACAUCAAACUACCACCAAAGGAUUUCAAUGGACACAUGGAUAUGGAUGACUUUUGGGAUAAACUGGCCCUGCAAAUGAUUGGUUGUGGCUUUGUAAAAA